UACGUAGGGUGCGAGCGUUGUCCGGAUUUAUUGGGCGUAAGAGCUCGUAGGCGGUUUGUCGCGUCGGCCGUGAAAUCUCCACGCUUAACGUGGAGCGUGCGGUCGAUACGGGCAGACUUGAGUUCGGUAGGGGAGACUGGAAUUCCUGGUGUAGCGGUGAAAUGCGCAGAUAUCAGGAGGAACACCGGUGGCGAAGGCGGGUCUCUGGGCCGUAACUGGACGCUGAGGAGCGAAAGCAUGGGGAGCGAACAGG
rnacentral:rRNA from 1 species